rnacentral:rRNA from 1 species
UUAAGCGACUAAGCGUACACGGUGGAUGCCCUGGCAGUCAGAGGCGAUGAAGGACGUGCUAAUCUGCGAAAAGCGUCGGUAAGGUGAUAUGAACCGUUAUAACCGGCGAUGUCCGAAUGGGGAAACCCAGUGUGAUUCGUCACACUAUCGUUAACUGAAUACAUAGGUUAACGAGGCGAACCGGGGGAACUGAAACAUCUAAGUACCCCGAGGAAAAGAAAUCAACCGAGAUUCCCCCAGUAGCGGCGAGCGAACGGGGAGCAGCCCAGAGUCUGAAUCAGCUUGUGUGUUAGUGGAACGGUCUGGAAAGUCCGACGGUACAGGGUGAUAGUCCCGUACACCAAAAUGCACAGGNUGUGAACUCGAAGAGUAGGGCGGGACACGUGGUAUCCUGUCUGAAUAUGGGGGGACCAUCCUCCAAGGCUAAAUACUCCUGACUGACCGAUAGUGAACCAGUACCGUGAGGGAAAGGCGAAAAGAACCCCGGCGAGGGGAGUGAAAAAGAACCUGAAACCGUGUACGUACAAGCAGUGGGAGCACCUUUAUGGUGUGACUGCGUACCUUUUGUAUAAUGGGUCAGCGACUUAUAUUCUGUAGCAAGGUUAACCGUAUAGGGGAGCCGCAGGGAAACCGAGUCUUAACUGGGCGUUAAGUUGCAGGGUAUAGACCCGAAACCCGGUGAUCUAGCCAUGGGCAGGUUGAAGGUUGGGUAACACUAACUGGAGGACCGAACCGACUAAUGUUGAAAAAUUAGCGGAUGACUUGUGGCUGGGGGUGAAAGGCCAAUCAAACCGGGAGAUAGCUGGUUCUCCCCGAAAGCUAUUUAGGUAGCGCCUCGUGAACUCAUCUUCGGGGGUAGAGCACUGUUUCGGCUAGGGGGUCAUCCCGACUUACCAACCCGAUGCAAACUACGAAUACCGAAGAAUGUUAUCACGGGAGACACACGGCGGGUGCUAACGUCCGUCGUGAAGAGGGAAACAACCCAGACCGCCAGCUAAGGUCCCAAAGUCAUGGUUAAGUGGGAAACGAUGUGGGAAGGCACAGACAGCCAGGAUGUUGGCUUAGAAGCAGCCAUCAUUUAAAGAAAGCGUAAUAGCUCACUGGUCGAGUCGGCCUGCGCGGAAGAUGUAACGGGGCUAAACCAUGCACCGAAGCUGCGGCAGCGACACUAUGUGUUGUUGGGUAGGGGAGCGUUCUGUAAGCCUGCGAAGGUGGCCUGUGAGGGUCGCUGGAGGUAUCAGAAGUGCGAAUGCUGACAUAAGUAACGAUAAAGCGGGUGAAAAGCCCGCUCGCCGGAAGACCAAGGGUUCCUGUCCAACGUUAAUCGGGGCAGGGUGAGUCGACCCCUAAGGCGAGGCCGAAAGGCGUAGUCGAUGGGAAACAGGUUAAUAUUCCUGUACUUGGUGUUACUGCGAAGGGGGGACGGAGAAGGCUAUGUUAGCCGGGCGACGGUUGUCCCGGUUUAAGCAUGUAGGCUGNUUAUCCAGGCAAAUCCGGAUAAUCAAGGCUGAGGUGUGAUGACGAGGCACUACGGUGCUGAAGUAACAAAUGCCCUGCUUCCAGGAAAAGCCUCUAAGCAUCAGGUAACAUCAAAUCGUACCCCAAACCGACACAGGUGGUCAGGUAGAGAAUACCAAGGCGCUUGAGAGAACUCGGGUGAAGGAACUAGGCAAAAUGGUGCCGUAACUUCGGGAGAAGGCACGCUGGUGUGUAGGUGAAGCCCCUGCGGGUGGAGCUGAGACCAGUCGAAGAUACCAGCUGGCUGCAACUGUUUAUUAAAAACACAGCACUGUGCAAACACGAAAGUGGACGUAUACGGUGUGACGCCUGCCCGGUGCCGGAAGGUUAAUUGAUGGGGUUAUCCGUAAGGAGAAGCUCUUGAUCGAAGCCCCGGUAAACGGCGGCCGUAACUAUAACGGUCCUAAGGUAGCGAAAUUCCUUGUCGGGUAAGUUCCGACCUGCACGAAUGGCGUAAUGAUGGCCAGGCUGUCUCCACCCGAGACUCAGUGAAAUUGAACUCGCUGUGAAGAUGCAGUGUACCCGCGGCAAGACGGAAAGACCCCGUGAACCUUUACUAUAGCUUGACACUGAACAUUGAGCCUUGAUGUGUAGGAUAGGUGGGAGGCUUUGAAGCGUGGACGCCAGUCUGCGUGGAGCCAACCUUGAAAUACCACCCUUUAAUGUUUGAUGUUCUAACGUUGGCCCCUGACCGGGGUUGCGGACAGUGUCUGGUGGGUAGUUUGACUGGGGCGGUCUCCUCCCAAAGCGUAACGGAGGAGCACGAAGGUUAGCUAAUCCUGGUCGGACAUCAGGAGGUUAGUGCAAUGGCAUAAGCUAGCUUGACUGCGAGCGUGACGGCGCGAGCAGGUGCGAAAGCAGGUCAUAGUGAUCCGGUGGUUCUGAAUGGAAGGGCCAUCGCUCAACGGAUAAAAGGUACUCCGGGGAUAACAGGCUGAUACCGCCCAAGAGUUCAUAUCGACGGCGGUGUUUGGCACCUCGAUGUCGGCUCAUCACAUCCUGGGGCUGAAGUAGGUCCCAAGGGUAUGGCUGUUCGCCAUUUAAAGUGGUACGCGAGCUGGGUUUAGAACGUCGUGAGACAGUUCGGUCCCUAUCUGCCGUGGGCGCUGGAGAAUUGAGGGGGGCUGCUCCUAGUACGAGAGGACCGGAGUGGACGCAUCACUGGUGUUCGGGUUGUCAUGCCAAUGGCACUGCCCGGUAGCUAAAUGCGGAAGAGAUAAGUGCUGAAAGCAUCUAAGCACGAAACUUGCCCCGAGAUGAGUUCUCCCUGAGACUUUAAGUCUCCUGAAGGAACGUUGAAGACGACGACGUUGAUAGGCCGGGUGUGUAAGCGCAGCGAUGCGUUGAGCUAACCGGUACUAAUGAACCGUGAGGCUUAACCUU